rnacentral:rRNA from 1 species
CGGCAGCACGGGGGCAACCCUGGUGGCGAGUGGCGAACGGGUGAGUAAUAUAUCGGAACGUGCCCUGGAGUGGGGGAUAACGCAGCGAAAGUUGCGCUAAUACCGCAUACGAUCUACGGAUGAAAGUGGGGGAUUCGCAAGAACCUCAUGCUCGUGGAGCGGCCGAUAUCUGAUUAGCUAGUUGGUAGGGUAAAAGCCUACCAAGGCAUCGAUCAGUAGCUGGUCUGAGAGGACGACCAGCCACACUGGAACUGAGACACGGUCCAGACUCCUACGGGAGGCAGCAGUGGGGAAUUUUGGACAAUGGGGGCAACCCUGAUCCAGCAAUGCCGCGUGAGUGAAGAAGGCCUUCGGGUUGUAAAGCUCUUUUGUCGGGGAAGAAACGGUKNNUNCUAAUACGGNNSACUAAUGACGGUACCCGAAGAAUAAGCACCGGCUAACUACGUGCCAGCAGCCGCGGUAAUACGUAGGGUGCAAGCGUUAAUCGGAAUUACUGGGCGUAAAGCGUGCGCAGGCGGUUAUGUAAGACAGAUGUGAAAUGCCCGGGCUCAACCUGGGAACUGCAUUUGUGACUGCAUGGCUAGAGUGUGUCAGAGGGGGGUAGAAUUCCACGUGUAGCAGUGAAAUGCGUAGAGAUGUGGAGGAAUACCGAUGG